GGAGUCUGCUCCUUCUACAUCGGACCAUGUUAUUCUUGACAUUACCCAGGCAAAGAACCCGCAAGAAACGCAUUUGCUGGAGUCUGCUCCUUCUACAUCGGACCAUGUUAUUCUUGACAUUACCCAGGCAAAGAACCCGCAAGAAACGCAUUUGCUGGAGUCUGCUCCUUCUACAUCGAACCAUGUUAUUCUUGAC